GUCCACGCCAUAAACGAUGAGAACUGGAUGUCGGGAGGGUCUGCCUCUCGGUGUCGUAGCUAACGCGUUAAGUUCUCCGCCUGGGGAGUACGGCCGCAAGGUUGAAACUCAAAUGAAUUGACGGGGACCCGCACAAGCGGUGGAGCAUGUGGUUUAAUUCGAUGCAACGCGAAGAACCUUACCUGGUCUUGACAUCCUAGGAAUCCCGCAGAGAUGUGGGAGUGCCUUCGGGAACCUGGAGACAGGUGCUGCAUGGCUGUCGU
rnacentral:rRNA from 1 species